CUCCCCCAACCCCCUCACUGUUCCCGAGUGCUUUUUUCCCCUCCACCUCCACCACCUCCCUCUGCCUCCCCGCUCCCCAAUCUGCAGCAGGGUGCUCUCCCAAGUCAGCGCUUGCCCAAGUUCCAUUUCCCCUGUCGAACAAGUCGCAGACCGAGGUGCGGGGGCCCGGGAACAGCGAGAAGAUGCAGACGGGGCCCAUCGUGGAGGAUCUACUCAUCGGGGUUGGCGGCCGUGCCACGCUGCAGAAGCUCCUUUACGCGGUCGUUUCUACCGCUGUUUCCGUCAGUUUCAGUUUCCAAAAGGAAGUGCGCCACCGGCGAUGAAGCACGCCUACCGCGUCAGUGUCGCGGACCCUCCUUACCUGGACAUACUAGAUUAAUCAAGCAUGUCAAGCCCUGGCCAGUCGCAAUGAUGGACGUUGCAAGCUCACCCACCUCCAUGGCUGCCCAAGUGGUGUUCGAUGCAAUGCAGCAAACGUACACCACCAACUCCACCCCUGCAUAUUCGAGUGGUGUUGUGUUGCCUGUGUUUGGCUGCCAAAGUCCGCGAGUGAUGCCCAGAAGGUGUUUCCCUUUACUUGCUGACAAAAGGACCUUGGCCUCCUCCUUUGCAGUACCGUCACACUUUGCUCAUUGAUAUUGUUCAACCCCUCUUAAGAUCAUGGCAGUCCUUUACUUGUGGUUUGGUCGAUAGGCAGCUGAGGCAACCAUGGCCACCACUUAUGCAGUCUGAGGUAUUUUUGGCAUAGCUUCCUCAGGUUAAUUAUAUCAUGUGACUUGCUGCAAAUUUAUGGGAAAGCAGAACAAGGCCUCUGCUGUGAAGUUCACAGGGGAUGUAGCUCAAAUGUUGGAGCUGAUAAUGCCAAGUAUUUUAAGUGCAAUGGUGAGUUUGCCGGUAGUGCAAGUAUCCUUACAAUUGCUGUCUUGGAGCGGAUGAACUGUUCAUUAUCAGUUAUACUGAAGUCAUGGUCCGAAAGCAGUGGUCGACUGAUUACUGCCAUUCAGCUGCAGUCAUGAGGCCUCUCUUCAGGAACUGGGUUCAGCUACAGCAUGGCCUGCAGUAUUUACACCAGGGCACAUGAUCAUUUUCAAGCCUUUUUCUAUGUGCAACCAAUGCAAGGUUAUGGCUCUGAAAAUUCAAAGGCAUUUAGCGAUGGGCAAGCCCAAUGACGCACAGUGCACUUCAGUAUAUUUAGCCAUUCCCUUGGAGCAGGUUUGGCACAACAAGUCUCUUGGCUGGAGCUCAUUAGAAAACUCCUGCUAAAAAUAUUGACGGGGCACAACUUCAGUUUGGCCAAUUGCAUAUUAUAUGGUCGCAUAGUCUGGGCCUUUGUUCUGUACAUCGUGAAAGACCAAGACUAGGACCUCAAUAUCAGAACCUCUGGAUGGUCAGCUCCUGAAUCAUAUAGUUUCUCUCUGGUACAUAUCCUUGAUACAAAUUUUGUUGUGGGAGCAUAUUCUGUACUCUGUAUCAGUAUAAUUGCACGGCAUGGCAAUUUAGUAAGCUACAAGCAUAAGCUUUCCUUUUUCUAA